rnacentral:rRNA from 1 species
AACGAACGCUGGCGGCAGGCCUAACACAUGCAAGUCGAGCGAGGACUUCGGUCCUAGCGGCGGACGGGUGAGUAACGCGUGGGAACGUGCCCUUUGCUACGGAAUAGCCCCGGGAAACUGGGAGUAAUACCGUAUGUGCCCUUCGGGGGAAAGAUUUAUCGGCAAAAGAUCGGCCCGCGUUGGAUUAGGUAGUUGGUGGGGUAAUGGCCUACCAAGCCGACGAUCCAUAGCUGGUUUGAGAGGAUGAUCAGCCACACUGGGACUGAGACACGGCCCAGACUCCUACGGGAGGCAGCAGUGGGGAAUCUUAGACAAUGGGGGAAACCCUGAUCUAGCCAUGCCGCGUGAGCGAUGAAGGCCUUAGGGUUGUAAAGCUCUUUCAGUGGGGAAGAUAAUGACGGUACCCACAGAAGAAGCCCCGGCUAACUUCGUGCCAGCAGCCGCCGUAAUAC